rnacentral:pre_miRNA from 1 species
CAAGCCCAUUGAUGUGAAAUUGACUCUAGUAGGGAGUCCGUUCCCCGCGACUCCCUAAUCGAGUCAGGUUGACUUCUUUGGGGCUUCUUCUACU